rnacentral:rRNA from 1 species
GCUUGUCUCAAAGAUUAAGCCAUGCAUGUACAAGUUUAAAUAUUAAACAGUGAAACUGCGAAUGGCUCAUUACAUCAGUUGCAACAUACUCGAUAACACUUCUACUUGGAUAACCGUAGUAAUUCUAGAGCUAAUACAUGCGCAAAACGGCAUCCGCCGUGCAUUUGUUGGAUACAACCUUCCCCUUCGGGGUCUUUGGUGAAUCACGAUAACUGAGCGGACCGCAUGCUUCGGCGGCGGUAGUUCGAUCUGACUUCUGCCCUAUCAGGUUUCGAUGGUAGUGUAGAGGACUACCAUGCCUUUAACGGGUAACGGAGAAUUAGGGUUCGAUUCCGGAGAGGGAGCCUGAGAGAUGGCUACCACAUCCAAGGAAGGCAGCAGG